rnacentral:rRNA from 1 species
UACGUAGGUGACAAGCGUUGUCCGGAUUUACUGGGCGUAAAGAGCGCGCAGGCGGUCGUUCAAGUCGAGUGUGAAAGCCCCCGGCUCAACUGGGGAGGGUCAUUCGAUACUGAUCGACUCGAAGGCAGGAGAGGGAAGUGGAAUUCCCGGUGUAGUGGUGAAAUGCGUAGAUAUCGGGAGGAACACCAGUGGCGAAGGCGACUCUUUGGCCUGUAACUGACGCUGAGGCGCGAAAGCGUGGGGAGCGAACAGG